AGAGCGAACGCUGGCGGCAGGCUUAACACAUGCAAGUCGAGCGGGCGUAGCAAUACGUCAGCGGCAGACGGGUGAGUAACGCGUGGGAACGUACCUUUGGUUCGGAACAACCCAGGGAAACUUGGGCUAAUACCGGAUAAGCCCUUACGGGGAAAGAUUUAUCGCCGAAAGAUCGGCCCGCGUCUGAUUAGCUAGUUGGUGAGGUAAUGGCUCACCAAGGCGACGAUCAGUAGCUGGUCUGAGAGGAUGAUCAGCCACAUUGGGACUGAGACACGGCCCAAACUCCUACGGGAGGCAGCAGUGGGGAAUAUUGGACAAUGGGCGCAAGCCUGAUCCAGCCAUGCCGCGUGAGUGAUGAAGGCCCUAGGGUUGUAAAGCUCUUUUGUGCGGGAAGAUAAUGACGGUACCGCAAGAAUAAGCCCCGGCUAACUUCGUGCCAGCAGCCGC
rnacentral:rRNA from 1 species